AAAAGUUCAGGGAUCAAAUUGCAUAUUGGGCCAAACUUCAUGGACUCUGUGUCAUUUUCCCUUUUAUUAAUGGGUAAAAAUUAUCUUUUUUAUAUUAGCUCAAAUUAAAACUUUGCAGCUCUCUAGAAAAAAAUGAGCAUUUUAUAUCCUUAUUUCUUUUGAAGUAAAGUCUCUAUUUUGCCAAUGAUUGCUUGAAAGUGUUGUCGGAGGCGUAACGCGCGUGCGAUUGUUAGGAACCUCCAACGUCGUAACUAACUCUUUGAACCAAACCAACGACCUCGACUUCGUUUUCCAUUGCCGAUAUCGACACGAUCCCGACCUCCGACGGCUCAACAGCUGCAUCUUCUUUGUCCUAACCGUUUUAGUUUCCGUCUUCGCUCUCUUCUUCUCCUUCUCCUCCGUGUUCGAUUCCGAAGCCGCGAGCUCUUGCUGGAUCUCUUGAUGGCCACCGUCGCCGGACCGAGCGCUGCUGCCCUCAGCUCAGGCCGGAUCGUGAAGCCGGUUUGGAGAGUUCGCAAUGUCCAGGAGGCUCGGGUUUUUGCGGCAGAAUUUGAGCCCGAUUCUUGGCGGAUUCCCAUCGAGUCGGCUCCGGAACCUGCCUAUCCCUUCGGCGCCAAAGCGGAAGCUCGGUUGCUGGUAAUCGAUUCUUUCCCUUUUCGCACUUGCGGCGCUUGCAUACGCCGUUUCUUUUGACUGGUAAUUGCUUAGUUUCUGCUUCGUGGGUAUUUCUUCUCUUUUCGGAAAUGCCUUCCUCAUGAGGAGGAAAAGAGUUGCCGCAGUGUAUGGAGCUCUUGUUGUGGGAGUCAUAUAACGUACAAUGCAGACUGCGAAGCUUCAGGCAUUUAGAGGAAUGGCAUUUUGUACGGUGCAAUAGUUCUUGGCCUCACAAAGACUGUAGCAAAAGAAUAUGCAAGCCGAAACAUCAAUAGGCUAAUGCUAUUGCACCAGGGUUCAUUGCGUCUGAUAUGACUGCCAAACUCGGGGAAGAAGUCGAAAAGAAAAUCUUGGAGACAGUUCCCUUAGGUGAUAUAUGCAAGGAGUGGCUGCCUGGAAUGUGUCAGUGGUAUUUCACCAAGGAAUUGCUGAUCUAGGGGAGUUCCAGUCCUGUCACUGUUGAGGACAUAUACAGGAGAUCACAUAACAUUUAUGCUGGAGUAUGAAUUUUGUAUGAUACUUGGUUAAGAAGGAAGGUGUGGACAGUCAGAAGAAGUUGCUGGCUGGUGGAUUUCUGGCCGUCAACCCUGCAGCCAGCUACAUUAUGGGACUGGUCAAAGAAUUGCUGUUCCUGCCUUUUUCCUUUACCUCUCCCUUCACACGGUGUUUUAUCUUUGGUUCGCUUGCCAACCGGAUGUCACUAUGCCGGUCACAACCAUAGAUGGUGGAAUGGUCAUGUAGAGUAUUAUAACUGCUUUAUUGAAGCCUGAAUAGAACUUCCAACUGCAGAGCUUAGCCUAUGGGGCAGUAAUUCACAAGAGACUAGUGUGAGCGGUAGGUAAUGAAUGAAGCAAUUUCGCUUUCACUUACGAAGUACGUUGUUGGAGCGAGAGCAAACCCUCCAAAGAACCCGAGGAGACUACCGAAGAAGGGGAUGCAGAUAGCGACGACCAUUGUGAAAGCUGAGCAAGGAAGACCAGAAAAGACAAUCAAUUGCAUUGGAGAAAAACAGCUCUUAACUUUUGCAGGGAAACACCCACUUAAGUCCGUAGUUUAGCUUCAGAUUCAGAACUUCCAUGCAUCAAGAACCGGUAAGCUUUUCAAAUCACUCACCGACAUAGACUGUACGCGUGACGAAACGGAGAGUGAAGCAAGGCUUGAAGCGCAAUUUCCUGACGAGAACAGUCUCCAUCAUGUCAAAAACCGGCAUCGCGUAGAUCUGUGCCCACAAAGCAUUGCGAAGUGUAAGGAAAACAGUUCUCAGCACAGCACAAAACUUUUCAACAGGACAAAAAGCAGAAGCAAAUCAUAAGUCUUUCUUCUUGUUUUUUCCCCCUCACCUGGUAGCUACCAAUGACAUGGAUGACCACAAACAAGUUAGCAGCAGCUAUGAUCCACUUGGGCUUUUGGAGAGUGAUGAGGAUGUUGUCAUCCACGGUGUUGCCAAACACGUAGUAGCCGACGAGGGCCACAGGGAAGUAGCAGAUGGCCACGAUGACGUACGCGACCAACACGCCUCUCCACAUGGGCUUCUUCGAGGGCUUCUCUGGGCUGGAGGGAAUGGUGGCCUGGAUCUCCAGCACCACGUUGUGGCCGGCAUAAGCGAAGGCCACAUCGCCCAGCGCGCUGAAGAAGUUGAACACUACGGUUUGUGUGUCUUUGCCCUUGUACGAAUAGUCCACAUCUGGUUGCACUCCCUUGUGCAGAGAUGCUGUCCAGGCAAUGGUGGAAUAGCUGUGUGCACACAAAAAAGAAAGAAAGAUGAAGGCCUGCCCUUAAAAUUGCAGGACCAACACCAACCGCGGGGUUGAUGUAGAUACCAGACAUAUGAAAAUAUGUUAAAAACCCUAUGAUACAUCAAAGUAGCAUGACGUAAAAAAACAAGAAAGUUUGAGAUUGAAACGAUCUAGCCAAAGGGAAAGGUCAAGCUCGCUUGCGUCUGCAUUUUUUUCUGUCGUUGGCCUAUGUACCGCUUGGCUUCAUUAAGCGAACAUAGACAGAAGCGAGCCUACCAUGUCUCCUGAGCCGUCCAAACUAUGGUCAGGUCUAUAGUCGGGCCAUUGUGUAAUCCUCCAAGGCGGUCUCAGGAUCAAGCGUACCUCGAUCCUUUCUUAAUGCACAAGCUAAAGCCGAUAUGGCUCGCUCUCAGAAGUUCAAGGUUUCUCAUGAACAAAUAGACUAUCUUGUUAAUCCCUUACCUGAGGGACAUGACUGCAGCAGCCAAGGAGACAACAGAGAUGGAGUUGAAGUUGGGGAGGUGGGAGAGGACAAAGUGGACGGAGGCAAAGAUCAUGAUGAAGUAGGAGGUCCUGAUGGGCUGGCAAUCGCUGCAGAGCAAUUCGUGGAUCUUCUUGAUGGACUUGCCUCCGGUGAUCAUGUACACGAUGUCGACCCCAACCUCAACAACCAGCUGCUGGGGGACCACAAUCCACAGGCCCAGCUUCUCGCCAAAGGCGUGUUGGCCCAGCUCGUGGUACCGGUCAAACCUCUUCCCUGGCACCAUCUCGUGCAUCUCCACCAUCUGCCACAGCGUGUACAGGGUGACGACCCAUGAUAUGAUGAGCACAGUCACACCGGGUCCCCUGCAAUGACAUCCAUCCAGUGUCCGGAAAAAGAAAACGGGAAAAGGACAAUGUCAAGACAUUAAAAUCUAGAUGUAAAACUAUAUCAUUGUUUGGCGCAGUUUGCUUUCGUCGGUGGGGAUCAGUUGAGCAGGAAAGGUUAGGAUAUCCGCGUUCUAAAAAGAUUGAAAAGAGAGAUGGAGAAAUUUGUCAAUGAAUUACUUUGUUCCGCUCUCUGUUCCCUAGGAUUUCUUGAGGUUUUUCGAACUCUUUUAAGAUAGAAACAGAAGUUUUGAAAUUUCUCUGCCAAAUAUGAAAUGAAACUUCUGAGAGUUCACAUUGGUUUUCUGAUA